rnacentral:rRNA from 1 species
UAGGCAAUCAUACUGUGAAACUGCGAAUGGCUCAUUAAAUCAGUUAUCGUUUAUUUGAUAGUACCUUUACCUGGAUAACCGUGGUAAUUCUAGAGCUAAUACAUGCUAAAAACCCCGACUUAGGAAGGGGUGUAUUUAUUAGAUAAAAAACCAAUGCCCUCUNGGGCUCCUUGGUGAUUCAUAAUAACUUAACGAAUCGCAUGGCCUUGCGCCGGCGAUGGUUCAUUCAAAUUUCUGCCCUAUCAAUUUUCGAUGGUAGAGUAGUGGUCUACCAUGAUCUUAACGGGUAACGGGGAAUUAGGGUUCUAUUCCGGAGAAGGAGCCUGAGAAACGGCUACUACAUCCAAGGAAGGCAGCAGGCGCGCAAAUUACCCAAUGCUAAUUCAGCGAGGUAGUGACAAUAAAUACUGAUACGGGGCUCUUUCGGGUCUCGUAAUUGGAAUGAGUACAAUCUAAAUCCCUUAACGAGGAACAAUUGGAGGGCAAGUCUGGUGCCAGCAGCCGCGGUAAUUCCAGCUCCAAUAGCGUAUAUNAAAGUUGUUGCCGUUAAAAAGCUCGUAGUUGAACCUUGGACCUGGCUGACCUGUCCUCCUAAUCGAGCGCACGGAUUCGGUCGGGUCUUUCCUUCUGGGGAGCCCUAUGCCCUUCACUGGGUGAUGUGGGGAACCAGGACUUUUACCUUGAAAAAAUUAGAGUGUUCAAAGCAGGCCUUUGCUCGAAUACAUUAGCAUGGAAUAAUAGAAUAGGACAUCGGUUCUAUUUUGUUGGUUUCUAGGACCGCUGUAAUGAUUAAUAGGGAUAGUCGGGGGCGUCAGUAUUCAAUUGUCAGAGGUGAAAUUCUUGGAUUUAUUGAAGACUAACUACUGCGAAAGCAUUCGCCAAGGAUGUUUUCAUUAAUCAGUGAACGAAAGUUAGGGGAUCGAAGACGAUCAGAUACCGUCGUAGUCUUAACCAUAAACUAUGCCGACUAGGGAUCGGACGGUGGUUUUUUUAUGCCCCGUUCGGCACCUUACGAGAAAUCAAAGUUUUUGGGCUCG